UUAUGGCAUUGAUACAAAACUUUUAGUGUACAUGCAAGUUCUGCUUGUGAGAAUCUAUGAAAGAAAAACUGAGAUAGACCUGAGCCUUGU